UCCUCGAGCACCGAUACUCGCCAUUGGUUUUAGUAUCUCCGGUUCUCCACGGUUUCUCGGGUCACAGUGGUCCCUGCCGCGGGAGGUACUCGUUCAGAUAUUAAAAUUAGCGAGAUAAAAUCUGCGGAUGGAUAGAGUGGUUCAAUUGAGCGGAGUGGUUUAAUGGUGGCGGGCGGCACCGGUCGCCAGUUGCGACUCAAUAAGGAACGGGCGAAUCGUGCUCUUGUGUUCUUGCGAGAGAGUGUCUUCAUUGCGAGAGAAACGAGGAAGGAGCGUCUUUGUUCGUAAAUCUGAGAAAAUUAUUGAACUGUUGUUAAUUAAGUGCCGGGUUUACGACUGCGGAAGAAUUAUUCUUUUUUCGGUCUGCGGUUAUUUAACAUUGUGGGAAGUGUGUAACCAGUGUAACGUUAAAACGGAAUUACACAAGACCGAUAAUUAUCGAUGGCGGGCAGCCUCUUCCAACAUUCUCGUUCGUUAAAUCCGCGUAACAAUUCUCAAGUUUAUAAUCGAAAUAAUAGCAACGGGAAGAACAUUUCUAUUUCAAUUCCUUAUAUACGGAAUUGAACUACGCAUUCCCAUCUUCCUAAAACCUGAUGAAAUCGAGCGAUGAAAUUCGACGAUAUUAAAAGAUCUUUCACGUAUCUUAUCCAACAAACAUCCAUGAAAGCACAAUCGGAACGCGACAAUCGAUCAAACGACACAAAGACGUGUCGUGUCUCUUUAAUUCACGCAACAUCGUGUGGUCCACAUCCAUACAUAAAUCAGGACCCAUUUUUAGAGGGACCUAGGACGAGGGUCAACCUGGAGGACUCGUAGACACUUCGUAUACCUCCUCUGUCCAACCUCCCCUCCAGUGUUGUGGCACUGUUCUCGCGGUUAUGAUCGGACCGCAGACCACGACCAUUGUUCGAAAGGCAGCCGGGGUCGGUUCGUCUCGUUAUAUGAGCGCAAUGCUGGCAUAGUCGAGAGAUAAACAGCGCUAUGGGGGCUCUCUCCGCCACUAUACGGAGAGAGGAGCGAAGAUAUCCAUAUAGCGGGCUGUGAGAGGUGCAUCUAAUGGGGCGACAAUCGCAUAUCGUUAGGGAUACAGUCCCUGGCAAAAUCUUCGCCACGUCGGAGGUCCGACGCCAGAGUCCCCCGGCCAUUGAUUUCCAUCUGUUCGAUUUUUUCCCUCUCGCUGAGUUUUUGCUGGAUGGAACUACGUUUAUAUAAACUUGUCGAGAGAAAGAGAAACAGGUAUCUGGAUAAUAAAAAUUUCUCUAAUUCCUAUCUCCAUUCGAUUAAACGAUAUUUUCCAUAUGUGCGAGUGGAAUGAUACUCGGGACAGGAGUAGGACAAGAAAGUUCAGGAGGUGUAUAAUUUCUAGAUUGAAUUUUGUGCUAAAGUUUUGAUAAGAAUCUCGAUACUAAAUAGGAGGAACAAUUUCUAGGAAGAGAAACGUGACGUGAAAGUCAAUGUGAAAAUAGUUUAGACUGUUUCUCGCUACGAUUGGGGAGUGACAGAUCGGAUUGCAGUCGUCCCAUAUCAUGUACUUACGUCUCGAUACAAUCGAAUCACAGACAAUGUACAUCCUACAUCUACAAGGAAAACAUAAGUUACAAGAAGAUUGCUUAAACAAAUUCCAAACCAUUUGGAGAAUAAAACCGAUCACCAUAUGAUUUCAAGAUUCACUUAUCAGCAGCCCGUAGCUGCAAUCAUUUUAACGAGAAUUCACUAUCUCUAAGAUGAAACAGAAUCACGGAAGCAUCAAAACAACGUAUAACUGGGACCAUUCAAGCAUAUA